rnacentral:tRNA from 1 species
CCUUCGAUAGCUCAGUUGGUAGAGCGGUGGACUGUAGACAGCGAUAACGUGCGCGCGCGCACCAUUGGAAGAAGUAAUCCAUAGGUCACUGGUUCAAAUCCGGUUCGAAGGA